UGACCUCCUGGAAUUCAUUGGGGCAUAUGCAGAAUAAAGCAGUGAAGCACACCUUCUAACUGUGUCUCUGAAAAUCCACUUCAGAAAAAACGCACAUGUACAUAUAGCAUAAUUACAAUGUUUUCUUGACUAUUUUCACUUACCAGCUAUUUCAUUUUCUUAAAAACUUUAAACUUUAAAGAAGAAAAAUUAAAGUAUUGGGGCACCCGUAUCUGAGGCCAAAUGGUCAAAGCAGGGGCAAAAAAAGCUUUGUCUAAUUCCAUCCUCUAGGAUUCAUAAGGCUAUCCUAAAAUUGAUUCCUAUUUGUACAGGAGCUCCCAGGCCUCCCAGACUGGAGUGUAGAGCUGGAGCAAAUGUUGCCUGCCUCUAUCUGGAUUCCCAGCUACAAUGCUGUCAGAGCUGAACUUCUGUCUGACCUUUGGGAAAAUGAGAAAGAAUCCGGCUAGCUUUGGAAUAUACCAAGUUCUUUUCUAAACCUUACUUUAAAAACAUUCUGCUUCUAGUGCCAUUUAGCCUUAAAAAAAUACUGCUUGUGAAAUAGAAAGAUGAUCAGAGACCUUAAAAUGUCUGUCUGAAUGGGACUGAUUAUUUAAGAAAAGCACCACAGGCACCUAGUAAUGGGAACAGGUUUGACACUUUGUUCUAUGACACAGGAUGCCAAAGAGCUUUUUCUGUUAAUGACCUGAGAUCUUCUGCCCAGACAUUCAACCUUCGCUGGAUCCUAUGAGAUACUUGGCCUGUGAUAUAAAACAGUGGCGGAUUGUCAUUUUUCAUAUUUCACAGGGGUCUUCAUCUCCUAUAAUACUCAACCAGAAAAGGAUACCGAGCCACCAAGUAACACAGAAAAAUGUAUCGUUUCUGCUAAACCACUCCAGUUUUAAUAAUAUAAUAUUGGG
rnacentral:lncRNA from 1 species